ACAAUUGGUGGAGAAUCCGGGUAACAACAACGCCCGGGGCUGCUGCAUAUAUUUUGCAGUAGUCGGAUCCUGGACCUCUUCAGCCAGCGAGUUCCCCCAUUGAACAUCAACUCAGUCUCAACGUAACAACGAUGGACAACAAAAGUGCCAGCCGCCAUGAACUAUGCAGACAUUUUUCUCUGUUCAUCAACAGGAAACAACGGUCAACUGUAGAAACUUCAGCUGUCCUCAAACGUCCGUCACCGGUGUAAGAAAAUCAAAGAACAUAGAAGAAAUGUGAUAUUCCAUUCAAAACACGAGGACGUGUUUUCCCCGGAGCGGUGGGAAACUAUCACCGUGCAAAAUUCACUGUUUAAUUAUAACUUUAUUUUGGACUUUACUUUAAAAAUUCAACAUCUGUUUCGUAAUAUUUUCUCACAAUUUAUUUCUUACUAAGUUACAAGUUUAUUUUGUGAUUGACACUUUUCGGACUCUAUAUGUGAUUUCAAAGAGACAGAGUGCCACGUCUCAAGGACUGUUAAUCUCUUAAAACAACAAUGUGCAAUUAUCAGCUUUACAUGUCUUGGACAUCAAAGACUCAUUGAGUUUAUUUAAUUAUUUUAUAUCUGUGAACCUUUCACUCAGCUUACUUAUGUCAUCACCUGUCAAUUGUUACUUAUUGUUCAGAUUCUUAUAAAUAAUUAUGUACAAUUGUCAAUCGGCAGUCUGGAAUACGGCGGCCAGCCUCGGCCACGUCCGACUCACCCAGAGUCUUGAGUCCGGAGGCCACUACUGGCCAUAUCCGACUUGUUUGUAGCAUGUCUGCCUGUUAAAUUGUUAUAAUGUUGCCAUCGUUGAGUCUCGACCAAUAAAAACGGAAUCCU
rnacentral:sRNA from 1 species